GCCACAGGUGUCAUGUGAAAAUGCACGGCUCGCCUGGUCCUAGAAACAACUCUGAAGAUUCUAGCUUUCAUUUAUCUAGCACAGGGGUUCUCAUCCAUAAUCCUCAAGUUGUGAACUUCUUUAAUCAUGCUGAGUUUGCUGGAUACCCCUCCUAUACACCUCUACAUCACACAAGCCAAUAGAUCAGCAUUAUGGCUCACCCUGCGUUCCUCAAGGACACCAUUAUUUAAAGUGCCUGCUCUUGUGGAGUCAUUGAGAACACCAAAAUAAGCAGCAGGGCUGUCUGGCUAUCAGUGCAUGACAGGGAAAACUGAAGGUGUGGAUGCAGGCCUAUUGGCAGAAUGGAUUUAAUGUCAGAUAGGAGCUAUGGAAGACGCGAGCUGUUAGCAGUCCCUGAGGGUCGGAUGUGAGAAACACAGCCUUGUUAUCAUGCCAAAUUGUGUUUACUGCAGUCUACUUCCCACCGCUGCUCGUCUUAAUAACAGAAUUAUACCUGGAACGACUUAAUGCUAUCCUCUAACAAGACCUGUUCAUUCGAAUGAUUGCUCCUGUCCAGAAUGAAAAGCCAACAAGGAAUAAUAUCGUAAAUUGGAGAGGAUAUUAAUCAGCGACGUGAGAUGGCAAACUUGGUUAAAAAUUAGCUUUGCCUCACCUAUGUAUGGAGAAAAUAACUCAAUGUAUGUAUACCAGUGAUCCAUCAUUCUGGGAAGGAAAAAAGGAAUUUGUUCUAAUCACUUAAAACUCCCAAACUGAAUUGUACAUACC